UACGUAGGGUCCAAGCGUUAUUCGGAAUUACUGGGCGUAAAGCGUACGUAGGCGGUUUGAUAAGUUGGAUGUGAAAUCCUGUGGCUCAACCAUAUGGACUGUGUCCAAAACUAUCAGACUAGAGCAUAGUAGAGGCAAGUGGAAUUUGCGGUGUAGGAGUGACAUCCGUAGAUAUCGCAAGGAACACCAAUGGCGAAGGCAGCUUGCUGGGCUAUUGCUGACGCUCAGGUACGAAAGCGUGGGGAGCGAACGGGAUUAGAUACCCCGGUAGUCCACGCCGUAAACGAUGAUCACUAGCAGUAUGGAGAUUCGACCCUCUGUGUUGCAAAGCUAACGCGUUAAGUGAUCCGCCUGGGGAGUACGGGCGCAAGCUUAAA
rnacentral:rRNA from 1 species